GUGAAAGGGGGAGGACUUUUAAGAUAACCACAAAGCACGUGUGUCUUUUUAUCUUUGCACAGUGAUAAAGAAGCAGAGACACUGUAGAGUGUUAGAGGAGCUGGGCUGAUACAUUGCAGCGGUGUGGUGCUGUUAAAGGAGCUGCUCGGUGCUGGCAAAGACGAGCAGUGUCACAAGUUUCCUUUUAGUGCAACCUAAAACACCCAGCUCUUUCUCCAGUCACCUGACUCUCUAACCACAGAAAACCACCCUCCACUGUCGAAGAAAUCAGCCCACCAACGUCAACCAACCAGCAUGAAGAAACCAGAUACAUUUUGAGAUGUUUUUGUCGGAAACAUUAUGAGUAUUUAAACAUCCUAUAUUACGCAAAAUUGACUCUUGUGACAUUUAAACUAUGUUAUAAUGUUGUCACCUCCACCAAAAACAUACCGGAGUUGUGUUUUGUUUCCUUCACAUGUUUGAGUAAUCCUUUAUUAUUAGUCUGUCUACAUCUCCAAAGCUAAAAAUGCUCUAUUCCACCUUGUGAUGUCAUGACGUGAUAGUUUUCAAGUUAACAGCUAAGGCUUUGGAAUUAAUUGAAUUUUGAUUGUGAUUUCGAUUUGUGUGUUAAACGAUCUCCAAACUCAUAAAAUCAAGUUGAUACGAUACAAAUUUUUUAUAUAAAUAAUUAUAUUUAUUUCAUUUUUUUGUAGAACAGCUGGAUAUAUAGUUUAUUUUGGAUACAUUUAUAUUUUUCUAUGCCUUAUUUCAUGUUCAAAUAUAUUUAAUUUUUUAUUUUUUUGUUUUAUGCAUCGCAAAACUGCUCUAAUGUUAUAUUCGUAGCCUAUAUUUAUUUUCAAUUUGAAAGUUUUGCGUAAAUUAUCAAUAACAAUGUGUUUUUUAGACAGAAAUGCUGAAUAAAUGCAUCGUGUAACUAAAAAAAUAAUCGUUUGAAUAAUCGUGAUUUCAAUAUUGACCAAAAUAAUCGUGAUAAUGAUUUUUUCCAUAAUCGAGCAGCCCUAUUAACAGCUGCCUUUUACCUUUUGUUCAGUAUAGAUUUGCAAUUCAGUGAAAAAAGCGGUGAAAUUAUCCAUGAGGAUUCUAGUGAAGGAACAACAUUUAUUAUCACAUGACAUCACAAGGUGGAACAGAGUGUUUUCUACUUGAGAGAAGAACGGGAUUUGUGUGUUAAACAUUUGUGAAUGAAACAAAACAAACACAACUCCAGGUUUGCUUAAAAUGAGAAAACAACAUUAUAACAUAGCUCAGAAAAUAGUGUAAUAUGGGUCUUUUAAAUUUUUAAAUCAGGAUUCUUAUCAAAUUUUUUGUCUAAUUAAUUUCUUGAACAUAAACUUUUAAUAUUAUCACACUAUUCUGCUCCAAACCAAAUGCUUUUACUGACAGACUAUUCAAAAGAUCCAAGCUGUUCAAUAAAAAACACUUAUAAUAAAAAUUAAUGUUUACAAGCAUUUUGACAGAGCCCCUAUUGUACGGUUUAUAUGAGCAUUUCCAUUCACGCUUUCUUUUAUAUGGGGCCAUUUUGAGGACAGUGGACCAUUCAAAAGACAGAAUAUCUUGUUUUGAAUUGUUAACUUCCACAGUAACGUUCUUCAUUUUCGUCUUUCUGAAACCCGUGGGUACAUUUGAGCAGAGAUAAAAAGGUACCAACAGGAACGGUUUGUAUUCUGGGGAAUUUACGAUGGUUCUAAAACUCUAAAAAUACUUGUAGCUCUGCAGCGGUGGAAGCCUCCAGGGUCAGAAGGUGGUUGAAGAUAAACUGAAAAACUGCAAUAAACAAAAACUGAAACUAUGUGGGAUGUUCAAACCCAACAUGAUAGAAAAGACUGAGACUACAACCACAUACACCAUCGAUCAAGUAGUAUUUAUUAUAAUGUAAUUUUAUGUGUUUUGGUGCUUUGUAAGCGUUGGAUGUGAUGUUAUUAAAGCUCCGAUACGACACAAAAUGAACUCUUGUGAGGUUUAAGUCUGUUAGAAUCAAAAACAGACCUGGAGUAGCGCGUGGAUUGGACCGAAUUUUUCUGUCCGAGCCCAGCCUGCGUUUGACAGAGCAGUGAUCGAAUCUGACCCGAGCCCCAUAGGCAUUAAGAUAUUUGUGUGUUCAAACCCGACACAAUUAAAAUCACACUAUUUUCACAGCCCUACAAAUGACACACAUGGGAUAUUGUGUCAUUUCUGGCCUUUCACGGACACAGAGACGCAAAAUACAAACUCGGGAUAAAGCGAAAAUAAAGAGAAGACUUUAUUACUCAAAAUGCAACGUCUCAUCCACAUUAUCCAUAGAAAUUAUCCUCCGCAAAUAAUGACAUCCAGUCCACAAAACCGCACUGUUAAUCCAGUUUGAGGCGUUAUUCAAAAGUAAAAAGGCAAGAGUAGUUCCUCGUGCGUGUUUGUUUACAUCCACACAGCACACGGAUCGAGGUGAAGCUGCAGAUUCACAAUAGUGACUCUACUUCUUGUGCUUCUUAUGCUUUAAAAAACAUGAAUCUGAAGUAUCGCACCACAUUUCACAAAUAAUAAUAACACAGUUUUGACUUGUAUCUGAACUAAAAGUGCAGUGCUCUGAUCUUUUGAACACUUAAGAAUCUCAAAGCGAGUCGUUUUUACUGUAAACAGGAAACAGUUGACGCGUUAAUGUGUCCGAGUCCGACGCGAGCCCAAACAUAAAUUGUAAAUAUUUAUUUUGUCCGAACCCGCCAGUUUCCGUCAGACUUCGGUCGGGUUUCCAUGUCCCAACCUGGACUAACCUUUUCUUUAGGGGUGCAACUAUAUCCAAGUCUCACGAUAAGAUAUCAUCACGGUAUGAACCUCACGUUACGAUAUUUAUUGCGAUAUCGUGGGAAAGCUCACUAUAUGGUGGGGAGGCUCGAUUAGGGAUGUAACAAUAUCCAAAUCUCUCAGACGAUAUUUUCAUGAUAUACAUCUCAAGGUACGAUAUUUAUUGCGAUAUUUUGUGGAGGAUAAACAGCUAAAACUGUGAAUAUGCUACUUUAUCUUCUUAAAAUGCCUUGACAAGACUUAAUCCAAAGAACUAAGACUUAAAAGUGCUUAGAACUGUUAUUUCUUCUUGUCGUCUGCACUGAAAUGGAGCAAAGGAUCAUGGUCUAUGUAGUUUUCUGUCUUUUUUUAGCUAUUGCUGCACCAUAUGUGAGGGUUUCAUCCUGCCCCUCCUACCCCUCCCUUCCCUGCUCUUUCUCUCCUUACCCUAUUUGGUUUUUCCUGAACGGACCCCAAUCACUCACCUGCUGAGCUCCACUCCUGAUCCUCGUCAAGUAAUCACCUCCUGCAAUAAAAGACCUGCUGACCUGCUCUCCAGUGCCAGAUCGUUCCCAUCCCAGUGCACUUCAUUUGGAGCCAGCCUCAUCCCGUUACCACCAGUUUCUUUAAGCCUCCAGUCAGCCUCCAUCUCCACAGACCUCCCAUCUGCAGCCAACCCGGACCCGUCCUGCCUCCCCUGGAAUCUAUCCCCCCGCCAAGACUAGUUUUGUGAAUAAAAUACUUUUUUUCCUUCUGCAUAUUUGGGUCCGACCAGUGAUUCCAUAACACCAUAACUCUUAAUUUAAGCAAAGAGACUUCGAUAUAAUUCGAUAUAUUGUGAUGGUCCACGAUAUUAUUGUGAGAACUUUGACGAUACGAUAUCACAAUACUUUGGUUAUUGUUACAUCCCUACUUUCCUUAUCAGUUUCUCUACCUCUCCAAACGUUGAAAAUGCUCUGGAAGCAGUAGUUUUCAAGUUAACAGCGACCACUAAGCUUUAGUUCUAUACAAAAUGGCAAUUCCAUGGCUGAAAUGAUUCAAAUUAUUCUAGCAAAGGUGUAUUUUCUAAACGUGUGAUUGAAACAAAACACAACUCCAGGUCUGUUUGCAAUGAGGAAACAACAUUACAGCAUAGAUCAGAAAAUAGCGCAGUAUGGACGCGUUAAAUAAAACUUGGGGCACAGACUUGAGCAAGGAACAGACACAAAAGAGGCACGUAAAAAGCAUUUUCUCUCUGGGCCCAAGAGCCACAUUCAGAGCAGAGCAGCAUUAACCCAGAAACCCUCCAAAACCCUCCUCCUCCCUGAGCCAUGCCAGUUUUAAAGAGCUCUCCGCGCUACUAUAAAAUAAAUCAGAAUUCACUACCAGCUUCUAUGGCUGUUACAAUACAAUAACGCAUUUGAAGUGUGAUUUUGUUCUACAAAACACAUCUUGGUUACACUGAAACGACUUCAUAAUGCUGCAAUUCUAAAGCAGGAACAGUCCACUAAAGUGUUUUCUAUUGUUAAAACCUGAGAUGCAAAAAAAAAAACGCAAUAGUACUG